rnacentral:rRNA from 1 species
CAUUGGAGGGCAGUCUGGUGCCAGCAGCCGCGGUAAUUCCAGCUCCAAUAGCGUAUAUUAAAAUUGUUGCAGUUAAAAAGCUCGUAGUUGAAUUUCUGCUGUAUUGCAUUUUCUCUUUUUAUAUGAGUUUUUGCGUUAUGGAUUAUUUCAAUAUUAAUUUUUUAUUAUUACUGAAUGUUUACUUUGAGAAAAUUAGAGUGCUCAAAGCAGGCUUUUGCCUUGAAUAGUUUAGCAUGGAAUAAUAAAGUAGGACUUUGGUUCUAUUUUGUUGGUUUUAGGUACCAAAGUAAUGGUUAAUAGGAACAGUUGGGGGCAUUCGUAUUUAACUGUCAGAGGUGAAAUUCUUAGAUUUGUUAAAGACGAACUACUGCGAAAGCAUUUGCCAAGGAUGUUUUCAUUAAUCAAGAACGAAAGUA